AAAUGGUGUAUGUUUAAUCCAAAUGCCAAUGACCUUAGCAAGCUUGCAGAUAAUAUAAAUUAUGCUUGCACUUUUUCAGAUUGCACAGCACUCGGAUAUGGCUCCUCUUGUAAUGGCUUGGAUGCUAAUGGGAAUUCUUCAUAUGCAUUCAAUAUGUACUUCCAGGUACAGAAUCAGGACCCCAUGGCCUGUAAUUUUCAAGGUUUGGCCAUGGUUACUUCACAGAAUAUUUCACAAGGGACAUGUAAUUUUAUCAUUCAGAUUGCUUCAGCUUCCUCUCUUGUUCGCUCCUCAUUAUUGGGUUUAGCAUUUGUAACAUUAGUAACAUAUUUAUUGUUAUAGGUUUUUGU
rnacentral:misc_RNA from 1 species